rnacentral:rRNA from 1 species
GACGAACGCUGGCGGCGUGCCUAAUACAUGCAAGUCGAACGCAGUUGGGACGGGUGAGUAACACGUGGGUAACCUGCCCAUCAGAGGGGAUAACACUUGGAAACAGGUGCUAAACCGUUAUUGAUGGAUGGACCCGCGUUGCAUUAGCUAGUUGGUGAGGUAACGGCUCACCAAGGCCACGAUGCAUAGCCGACCGUGGAGGGUGGUCGGCCACACGGGGACUGAGACACGGCCCAGACUCCUACGGGAGGCAGAAGUAGGGAAUCUUCGGCAAUGGACGAAAGCCUGACCGAGCAACGCCGCGUGAGGGAAGAAGGUUUUCGGAUCGUAAAACUCUGUUGUUAGAGAAGCGGUAUCUAACCAGAAAGCCACGGCUAACUACGUGCCAGCAGCCGCGGUAAUUC